GACGAACGCUGGCGGCGUGCCUAAUACAUGCAAGUCGAACGCAGUUGCGAACGGGUGAGUAACGCGUAGGUAACUGCCUCCUAGCGGGGGAUAACUAUUGGAAACGAUUCCUAAUACCGCCUCCUUUGGGAUGGACCUGCUUGGUAUUAGCUAGUUGGUGAGGUAAAGGCUCACCAAGGCGCCGAUACAUAGCCGGCCUGAGAGGGUUGUCGGCCGCACCGGGACUGAGACACGGUCCGGACUCAUAGGGGAGGAGGCAGUGGGGAAUCUUCGGCAAGGGACGGAAGUCUGAAAGAGUGACGCCGCGGGAGUGAAGAAGGUUUUCGGAUCGUAAAGCUCUGUUGGGAGAGCAGCGGUAACUAACCAGAAAGGGACGGCUAACUACGUGCCAGCAGCCGCGGUAAUAC
rnacentral:rRNA from 1 species